rnacentral:rRNA from 1 species
GUGCCAGACUCCUACGGGAGGCAGCAGUGGGGAAUACUGCACAAUGGGGGAAACCCUGAUGCAGCGACGCCGCGUGAGCGAUGAAGUAUUUCGGUAUGUAAAGCUCUAUCAGCAGGGAAGAAAAUGACGGUACCUGACUAAGAAGCCCCGGCUAACUACGUGCCAGCAGCCGCGGUAAUACGUAGGGGGCAAGCGUUAUCCGGAUUUACUGGGUGUAAAGGGAGCGUAGACGGCUGUGCAAGCCAGAUGUGAAAGCCCGGGGCUCAACCCCGGGACUGCAUUUGGAACUGUGUGGCUGGAGUGUCGGAGAGGCAGGCGGAAUUCCUAGUGUAGUGGUGAAAUGCGUAGAUAUUAGGAGGAACACCAGUGGCGAAGGCGGCCUGCUGGACGAUGACUGACGUUGAGGCUCGAAAGCGUGGGGAGCGAACAGGAUUAGAUACCCGUGUA